GAUGAACGCUGGCGGCGCGCUUAACACAUGCAAGUCGAACGGAAAGGCCCAAGCUUGCUUGGGUACUCGAGUGGCGAACGGGUGAGUAACACGUGGGUGAUCUGCCCUGCACUUCGGGAUAAGCCUGGGAAACUGGGUCUAAUACCGGAUAGGACCACAUUUUGGAUGGUGUGGUGGAAAGUUUUUCGGUGUGGGAUGAGCUCGCGGCCUAUCAGCUUGUUGGUGGGGUAAUGGCCUACCAAGGCGUCGACGGGUAGCCGGCCUGAGAGGGUGUACGGCCACAUUGGGACUGAGAUACGGCCCAGACUCCUACGGGAGGCAGCAGUGGGGAAUAUUGCACAAUGGGCGCAAGCCUGAUGCAGCGACGCCGCGUGGGGGAUGACGGCCUUCGGGUUGUAAACUCCUUUCGCUAGGGACGAAGCGUUUUUGUGACGGUACCUGGAGAAGAAGCACCGGCUAACUACGUG
rnacentral:rRNA from 1 species